GGGCUCACUUGAGCAGCACGUAUGCUAAAAUUAGAAUGAUACAGAGAAGAUGAGCAUGGCCCCUGCACAUGGAGGACACGCAAAUCCAUGAAGUGUCCGUAUUUUUA
ensembl:snRNA U6 U6 spliceosomal RNA